GAGGAGAGUAUCCUAAGGCCAGCGAGAGAACUGUUGUUAAGGAACUCGGCAAAAUGACCCCGUAACUUAGGGAUAAGGGGUGCCACCAUCAGGUGGCCGCAGAGAAUAGGCCCAAGCGACUGUUUACCAAAAACAUAGGUUUCUGCUAAGUCGCAAGACGAUGUAUAGGAGCUGACGCCUGCCCGGUGCUGGAAGGUUAAGGGGAUCUGUUAGAGCAAUCGAAGCAGUGAACUUAAGCCCCAGUAAACGGCGGCCGUAACUAUAACGGUCCUAAGGUAGCGAAAUUCCUUGUCGGGUAAGUUCCGACCCGCACGAAAGGCGUAACGAUUUGGGCACUGUCUCAACAACAGACUCGGUGAAAUUGUAAUUCCGGUGAAGAUGCCGGAUACCUGCGACAGGACGGAAAGACCCCAUGGAGCUUUACUGUAGCUUGACAUUGGGUCUUGGUACUACAUGUACAGGAUAGGUGGGAGGCUUUGAAACCAGGACGCCAGUUUUGGCGGAGCCAUCCUUGGGAUACCACCCUUGUAGUACUGGGACUCUAACCAUAGGCCAUGAAUCUGGUCUUGGGACACUGUCAGGUGGGCAGUUUGACUGGGGCGGUCGCCUCCCAAAAGGUAACGGAGGCGCUCAAAGGUUCUCUCAGUACGGUCGGAAAUCGUACGUAGAGUGUAAAGGCAAAAGAGAGCUUGAUUGCAAGACAUACAGGUCGAGCAAGGAUGAAAAUCGGACUUAGUGAUCCGGUGGUUCUGCGUGGAAGGGCCAUCGCUCAACGGAUAAAAGCUACCCUGGGGAUAACAGGCUUAUCUCCCCCAAGAGUCCACAUCGACGGGGAGGUUUGGCACCUCGAUGUCGGCUCAUCACAUCCUGGGGCUGUAGUAGGUCCCAAGGGUUGGGCUGUUCGCCCAUUAAAGUGGUACGCGAGCUGGGUUCAGAACGUCGUG
rnacentral:rRNA from 1 species